CCGUAGGGUUACCUGCGGAGGGAUCAUUACUGAGUUACCGCUCUAUAACCCUUUGUGAACAUACCUAACCGUUGCUUCGGCGGGCAGGGGAAGCCUCUCGCGGGCCUCCCCUCCCGGCGCCGGCCCCCACCACGGGGACGGGGCGCCCGCCGGAGGAAACCAAACUCUAUUUACACGACGUCUCUUCUGAGUGGCACAAGCAAAUAAUUAAAACUUUUAACAACGGAUCUCUUGGUUCUGGCAUCGAUGAAGAACGCAGCGAAAUGCGAUAAGUAAUGUGAAUUGCAGAAUUCAGUGAAUCAUCGAAUCUUUGAACGCACAUUGCGCUCGCCAGCAUUCUGGCGAGCAUGCCUGUUCGAGCGUCAUUUCAACCCUCAAGCACCGCUUGGUUUUGGGGCCCCACGGCACACGUGGGCCCUUAAAGGUAGUGGCGGACCCUCCCGGAGCCUCCUUUGCGUAGUAACUAACGUCUCGCACUGGGAUCCGGAGGGACUCUUGCCGUAAAACCCCCAAAUUUUUUACAGGUUGACCUCGGAUCAGGUAGGAAUACCCGCUGAACUUAAGCAUAUCAAA
rnacentral:rRNA from 1 species